UACGAAGGGGGCUAGCGUUGUUCGGAAUUACUGGGCGUAAAGGGCGCGUAGGCGGUCCCUCAAGUCAGGCGUGAAAGCCCCGGGCUCAACCUGGGAACCGCGCUUGAGACUGAUGGGCUAGAGUUCGGGAGAGGAUGGUGGAAUUCCCAGUGUAGAGGUGAAAUUCGUAGAUAUUGGGAAGAACACCGAUGGCGAAGGCAGCCAUCUGGACCGACACUGACGCUGAGGCGCGAAAGCGUGGGGAGCAAACAGGAUUAGAUACCCCGGUAGUCC
rnacentral:rRNA from 1 species